rnacentral:rRNA from 1 species
UACGGAGGGUGCGAGCGUUGUCCGGAAUUACUGGGCGUAAAGGGCGCGUAGGCGGUGUGUCAAGUCAGGCGUGAAAGCCCCGGGCUCAACCUGGGAACCGCGCUUGAGACUGGCACGCUCGAGUUCGGGAGAGGAUGGUGGAAUUCCCAGUGUAGAGGUGAAAUGCGUAGAUAUUGGGAAGAACACCGAUGGCGAAGGCAGCCAUCUGGACCGACACUGACGCUGAGGCGCGAAAGCGUGGGGAGCAAACAGG